ensembl:lncRNA
CUUUCCUCAGAAGUGAUCUGUGGCCGGCCGGACUUCAUUCCACAGAUGUGCUUUAACAAAGUGUGAAGCUGAACUCUGUGACAGUGUGAGCAGUGUGAGAGUGUCAGUAGAUGAUCAGCAGAGGAAAGUGAGAGCUGCUGUGAGCUGAUGUCCUGAAGGGCUUUUAAAGAAUCUCUGAGUUUGACAGGAACAUGAAGAUGUUUGUGGUGUUUGUGAUCCUCCUGCACGUUUCCCAGCAUACCUCAGCUGUGGAGUCAUAUGAGGGGGACUCGUUCAUCCUGCUGCCCUGUCAGUUCCCCACAGAGAGAUUGUUUGACCCCACAGUGGUGUGGAGUCGCUCCGACCUCAGUCCUCCAACCGUCCACCAGCGUCAGCGUCAAGGAGACGAACUGAAAGAUCAAAACCAUAAUUACACUGGCCGAACAUCCAUGAAGUCUGAUGCUCUGCAGACUGGAGACCUCAGCCUGAACCUGACCAACCUCCAACUAUCUGACAGCACCACCUACACCUGCUCCAUCAAAGAAUUUGGACGUGAACUGAGUCUGAGUGAUGUACAGCUGCAGGUCAAAGAACGGUUUCCAUCCUGGGCCAAAGCUCUCUUGGUUUUCCUGGUUCUCCUGGUUCUUCUUGUGGUUUCUGGAGGUCUUUUAUUUUAUUUCCGGCACUAUUUCAUGUCAGUGCCCUGGGUGGAGGUGGAUUCAGGGGUGGAGUCUGUCCAGCUGAUCUGCAAAACCACAGUUUGUCUGCCUAAAGAUGCUAAAGUGGAGUGGAAGAACAAAAACAACACGAAGGUCCACGUGUAUGAGAACGGCUCUGAGCAGCCUGAAGGACAGGACAAUAAAUACAAGAACCGAACGAAGAUGAAGAGAAACUUACUGGAACCUGGAGACCUCAGUCUGACCCUGAAAUACCCCACAGAUGGAGACAACUCGACCUACACCUGCACCGUCUACAGAGGGGUGAGAAAAAUCCUGAUGGAAAAACAAGUGGAGCUGAAAGUCAGAGUCCCCCAGGUGGAGGUGGCUCCAGGGGAGGAGUCUGUCCAGCUGCCUUUCAACACCACACUUCACCUGCCUGAAGAUGCUAAAGUGGAGUGGACGGACAAUUAUACAAGUCAUAAUUACAGGAAGGUCCACCUGUAUGAGAACGGCUCUGAUCAGCCUGACAAACAGCACCAGGCUUACAGAGACCGAACGAAGAUGAAUGAAGACCUGCUGAAAACUGGAGACCUCAGUCUGACCCUGAAACACCCCACAGAUGGAGACAACUGGACCUACACCUGCACCGUCUACAGCAGCGAGGGAAACAUCCUGAUGAAGAAACAAGUGGAGCUGAAAGUCAGAGUCCCCCAGGUGGAGGUGGAUUCAGGGGUGGAGUCUGUCCAGCUGCCCUUCAACACCACACUUCACCUGCCUGAAGAUGUUAAAGUGGAGUGGAAGGACAAACAUGACAGGAAGGUCCACGUGUAUGAGAACGGCUCUGACCAGCCUGAAGAACAGAGCCAGGUUUACAGAGACCGAACGAAGAUGAAUGAAGACCUGCUGAAAACUGGAGACCUCAGUCUGACCCUGAAAUACCCCACAGAUGGAGACAAUUCCACCUACACCUGCAACGUCUACAGCAGGGAGGGAAACAUCCUCAUGAGGAAAAAGGUGGAGCUGAAAGUCAGAGUCACCCAGGUGGAGGUGGAUUCAGGGGUGGAGUCUGUCCAGCUGCCCUUCAACACCACACUUCACCUGCCUGAAGACGCUAAAGUGGAAUGGAAGGUGAACGUUGGCAACAACUUCUACACAGUCCACGUGUAUGAGAACGGCUCUGACCAGCCUGAAGAACAGAGCCAGGUUUACAGAGACCGAACGAAGAUGAAUGAAGACCUGCUGAAAACUGGAGACCUCAGUCUGACCCUGAAAUACCCCACAGAUGGAGACAACUGCACCUACACCUGUACCGUCUACAGCAGGGAGGGAAACAUCCUGCUGAAGAGAAAGGUGGAGCUGAAAGUCAGAGACUGUCAGGUGGAGGUGAAGGAGGGGGCGGAGUCUGUCCAGCUGCCCUUCAAAACCACACAAAACCUGCCUGAAGAUGCUAUGGUGGUGUGGGGACGCUAUAAACCUGAGUACAUGAUGGUCCACCAGUAUAAGAACAGCUCUCACAACCAGGUUUACAGAGACCGAACGAAGAUGAAUGAAGACCUGCUGAAAACUGGAGACCUCAGUCUGACCCUGAAACACCCCACAGAGAGAGACAGUGGGAGAUAUGUCGGUGGAGUCAAGAGCAACGGAUGGAAGGACAUUUGGAUCAGAGGAAAAACAGUGCUGCUCAAAGUCAAAGGGAGAGUUCAGGUCCAGGAUCAAACAGGGGACAUCAGGAACAGAAGCAGCUCCAUUGAUCCGACUCCUCUGAUGGCUGAUCAAUCAGUUUGAUCUGUGUGUUAUUUGAUUAUUGAUCAGUGAUGUCAGAGUGGAGUCAGUGUGAUGUUGUUGUUGUGUGUUUGAGACUUUUAGUGUCCAUGAAGGUCCCUGCUGCCGUAGAUCCUCUGAACUGUGACAGAGGUCUCACUCUGGAGGAAACUCUCAGCACUUUCCAGCAGCUCCUCCAUCAUGGAGGACGUUCCCUCACUGUAACAGGUGGAGGAGAGAGGAGAGGAAGCACAGGUGGAUCCUCUGAGGAAGAGGAGCGUUCCUACAAACCACAUGAUCACAUGACCAGAGGGGCGUGGCCUUCAGUGGUAGUAAUAAAGGAACAGUCCACAUGUUCCACUUUGAAGGCUCAUCUCCAACAAAGCAGACCUGUGAUCACUUUAACUCAGUAUGAUGGAUUGUUUGGAUUUGUCUUUGUUUCUCUGGCUUUUCUUGUGUGUCUGUGUGUCUUUGUAUGUUGGAUAGAGUCAUGUGACCUGCCCAGGGACUACACAUGGAAAUGAGCAGUUUAGCUCAAAUCUGGCAGGUUUCCAUCUUCUGUUUUUAUCCUGAUGUCCAUGAACAUGAACUCUGUCCCUGUCAAAUAAAUCCAGAUACAAAGAUCAGAUCUACUGAGCUUCAUCAGCGUGUCAGCCGCUAACUGCAUCUUCAAAUAAAUAAAUGUGUCUGAUCAGCGGUGAUAAGAGGAGAGACGCUGAGCGAGUCAAACUUUAAAAACUGACUGAAAAAAUUCUUCUUGGCUUCAUUUUUCCUUCCAGUCUAAAAAAAC